CACAUAUACAUAUAAUCAUUAUUCACGAACCAAAAUACAUACAAACAACUAUAUGCCCUUUAACCUUGUAUGAUAACAUAAUAACAAAGAGAAUACGAUAGACAAGUAUAAACCCGUAAACAUCUUUUUAAUAACAUAAACAAUUAUAUUCGGUGAUAAGUAACAAAGCAUUAUGAUAACAUAAUGCUAAACAUGUAAACAUCUUUUUAUCACCAAACAAACAAUAGUUAGAAAUAGUAUAAAUAGAUGUAAGUGUAAAAAUGGAAAACAGUUCUGGAAAUAAAACGAGACUGAAAUAAUCUCUUGUGUACUUUUAAUUCCUAACAAGGACUCAUAACUCGAGCCUGUUUCGCAGCGUCCCACUCAGUAUGACUGUGUAUGUGUGAGUGUGUAUCCACCGGAUGUGAAAGUAGCUAUAAAUUCCUUAAGCCACACAAAGUUAAAGCCAAGGGUGUGAAACCUUGCUAACCAGGCGGUUCGAUAAGGCAGUACUAAGCGUGUGGGAAUGUCUAGGUGUUAGUGUUGGUUAUAGUUGAGUAAAAAUCUUAAACUUCGGGGAUAUGCGGGAAACUCACUGAGCCACUCCUUCGGGUUGUUCAGCUCUAAUAAAAUAGCGCUGAAGGAGUCGCGAAUGUUCAGUUAGAAAGAAAUACGUUGGCGGUGAAGUGUCGCGAGUUUAAGUGCCUAAUUGUGUGCGGUGAAUUAUGUAUAUUUCUAUAUAAAAGUUAAACGGGAAAAACGGCGGUAUUCCGUAAUUUGUGGAUAUAUAUAUAUGCGUAUAAAGAUAUAUAUAUUUAUAUAUAUAUAUAUAACGGUCGAGCUGAAGCUGCCUGAAGUGCAACCAACGGGACCUGUGGAGAUCCCGUCACUUACCCGGAACACCUAAUUAGCCAAGACCGAUAAUAUUGGGAGUUGAAGUCGCCAGUACACAGGUAUAAAACUACCUCCCCAGCAGAAAAAUAGUACUACCGUCAACAACACUGCAAUUGUUGCGUCAACAACAAAGGACGCAAGUGCAGGCAGCAAGCCCCGGCGCAAUUAAAGUCAACCGCCAUCUAUACCAACAGGUACCGAGCUGGACGUUAGAUAGAAGUUGCACGCACCGCCACACAUAAGCG